UUAUAGACAGAGCAUCUACUCUGUAAUUGCUAGGUCAGUCAAGCAAGAUUUGACAUGGGAUAGAGCCUUCAUAUUGUCCUAAGGGACAAAUUCAAUCUAGGUAAACUUCAGCAAGAGACACAACACCUCCAAAUUUCUCCUGUUACCAUCAGGAAGAUCCCAGAUUCAGCUUCUCAAAUAUGUUAGCCUCCAAACUCAAGUACAAGAGGAACAAUGGCCAGAAGACCCCUGAUAAAGCCUUUUUUACUUUUCUCAAGAAAAAAGGUAGGAGACUCACUGAAUUUUUAAAGCUGGAAUGGACUCAAAGAUCAUGCAGUAUAAUCUUCUCAUUUUAGAGAUAAAGAAACUGAGAUUCAAAAUGGAUCUCAUUUGCUCAAGCUCAUAUAGUUCGUUAGAAGCUAAGCUAGAAUGGAAUUCAGGUCUCCUGAUUCUGAAGAUGAACUGUGUUUGGUUAGGAAAAAAAAAAAGUAUAUUUUCAUCAAGAAGAAACAGAGCAUUGUUUCUGAAGUGAAGAUGGACAUAAAUUGAAAGACAUGUGAGGAAUGAGGUGAUUAUAUGGAGGGCAUGCCUACUAUAUGCUGA